UAAAAUCAUGAAAAAUAGUUUUCCAUAGAAAAAAAUAUUUUGGUGGAAAAAAUGUUUUACAUUUUGCAUUAUUGGUUUGUAGGAAAAAAAUAAUUUUUUAUUUACAUUUGUUUGGUUGAAAAGAAAAAGAAAAUUCACAUUUGUUUGGUUUGGUGGAAAAAAAAUGAAUUAAAAAAAAUUUGUACAGCUUGAAUUUUCGUUUUCUGUCAAAAUCAGCGAAAAAUGAAAAUAUUUCAGUUU
rnacentral:lncRNA from 1 species